GGAUUUUAAGAAUUGCAGGGCGUGAAAAUGCUUUUCCACACUGGUCACAUUUAUGACGCUUCUCUCCUCUAUGUGUUAGCACAUGUUUUUUAAGAAUUGCAGGGCGUGAAAAUGCUUUUCCACACUGGUCACAUUUAUGAGGUUUCUCUCCCGUAUGUGAUAGUAAAUGGGUUUUAAGAAUUGCAGGGCGUGAA